GACGAACGCUGGCGGCGUGCUUAACACAUGCAAGUCGUACGGUAAGGCCCUUUCGGGGGUCCACGAGUGGCGAACGGGGGCGUAACACGUGGGUAACCUUCCCACACCUUUUGGAUAACGCUAGGAAACUGGUGCUAAUACUGGAUAUGUGCUCCUGCUGCAUGGUGGGGGUUCGAAAGCUCCGGCGGUUGUGGAUGGACUCGCGGCCUAUCAGCUUGUUGGUGGGGUAGUGGCCUACCAGGGCGCCGACGGGUAGCCCGCCUGAGAGGGUGACCGGCCACAUUGGGACUGAGAUACGGCCCAGACGCCUACGGGAGGCAGCAGUGGGGAAGAUUGAACAAGGGGCGCAAGCCUGAUGCAGCAACGCCGCGUGCGGGAUGACGGCCUUCGGGUUGUAAACCGCUUUCAGCAGGGACGAAGCUUUUUGUGACGGUACCUGCAGAAGAAGCACCGGCUAACUACGUG
rnacentral:rRNA from 1 species